rnacentral:rRNA from 1 species
GACAGAGGGUGCAAACGUUGUUCGGAUUUACUGGGCGUAAAGCGCGUGUAGGCGGCUUGGCAAGUCGGAUGUGAAAGCCCACGGCUCAACCGUGGAAGCGCAUCCGAAACUGCUUCGCUCGAGUCUCGGAGAGGAAGGUGGAAUGCUUGGUGUAGAGGUGAAAUUCGUAGAUAUCAAGCAGAACACCUGCGGCGAAGGCGGCCUUCUGGACGAUGACUGACGCUGAGGAGCGAAAGCAUGGGGAGCGAACAGG